rnacentral:rRNA from 1 species
AGUAACACGUGGAUAACCUACCUAUAAGACUGGGAUAACUUCGGGAAACCGGAGCUAAUACCGGACAAUAUAUUGAACCGCAUGAUUCAAUAGUGAAAGACGGUUUUGCUGUCACUUAUAGAUGGAUCCGCGCCGCAUUAGCUAGUUGGUAAGGUAACAGCUUACCAAGGCAACGAUGCGUAGCCGACCUGAGAGGGUGAUCGGCCACACUGGAACUGAGACACGGUCCAGACUCCUACGGGAGGCAGCAGCU